UGGGGGCAACCCUGAUCCAGCCAUGCCGCGUGAGUGAUGAAGGCCUUAGGGUUGUAAAGCUCUUUCAGCGAGGAGGAUAAUGACAUACUCGCAGAGAGCCCCGGGC
rnacentral:rRNA from 1 species